AAAGCCUUGUGAUGUGCUAGCCACUACGCUGAGGAUAUGCCGUGUACUAAAAUUCCUCAGGACUCCUCACAGCUGCCCUGUAAGGAAGCGGCCAUGGCCGGGUUCUAGCGAUGCGAGGCCGAGGCUCGGGGCGCUGAGUAGCCUAGCGCGUCGCCGAGGAGAGCUGGCACGUGAACCCCUUGUCGUUUGCCGUCAGAGGUGUUAUGUGGUGGCCCUCAUUCUCCAUGCAUGGAGCAGACUCUAGGAUCUGCAGUUACUGUAUGAUGAGCCCUUCUGAGUAUUUUGCUUGGCUUUGCACCUGGCGAGGUAACAUUGAGAGUAGUUAAUCUCUAGACUGGAAUCCAUCUGGAAGACCACUCAAUAACUUGUGAUUAGCUGGACCUGGUGAUGCAAGCCUGGAGUCCCAGUUACCCGGAGGCUGAGGUGGGAAUAUCGCUUGAGACCAGGAGUUUGAGGCUACAGUGAGCUGUGAUUGUACCACUGCACUCCAGCCUGGGUGACAGUGCAAGACCUCAUCUCUUAAAAAAAACAAACAACUCAAAAAACCUCAUCAUUGAGCACCUAUGAUGUGCCAGCAACUGUACUCAGUGGUGGGGACUUGACGACAAACAAACCAGGGAUGGGAUCCUUGAGCAGUCACCAUCUGACAAGUGACUGGGAAAGAUGAAUAAUGCCCUUCACCAAGAUUCUUCUCUGAUCCACAAAUUCAAUUACCAAUUUAUUUGUUCACUGCUCUUAAACUUAAAUAUUUUUUAGUAGGUAAUAAAGACAUGUUUAAAC
rnacentral:lncRNA from 1 species